rnacentral:lncRNA from 1 species
UGAGAGUCAGAGGAAAUCAGCAUAAGAUCCAUCAAAUGGCCAAGAUAAGCAAACUGAGAAGGAAAGGUUUAAUAACAUGCCCAAGGUCACACAGAUAAGAAGAUGCAUGCACAGCCAAGAUUCCAGUGUUCUGGUCCUCGGAGCCCACACAGUCAUCACCAGGAGGCUACACUGCCUCUUCCUCACUGAAACAUGCAAGGUUUCCCGUGAGUGCCAUGUUACUGGAAGAGACUUUGACAGCUAACUCUCUGGAAUGUUGAGGUUGCAACUGGGUAUCGUGGACUUACUUCUGUGAUAUCUUCAAUGACCAGGGGCUUUGCGGAAGUUCAAUGGGAUUCUGGUUUUGUGAAGCAGUGGAUAUGCUGGGUUUGUAUAACAACAUGUGGAGCAUCAUGGGAAGAUGUCAUUCAAAUGCAAACAGUCCUUUCUACUGCCAUUGCCACGACGGUAGUCCAGUGCCUCAUGACCCCAAUCCUAGAACGAUGCAGUAGGCUCUCAGCUCUCUCAGCUCAGUGCUUUUCAAAUCCUGGAUGCAGAUGACGAUCAUCCAACUACAGAUUCUCAGGCCACCCCAGGCAUACCAAGUCAGAAUCCUUGGGGGCUAAAAAAAUAAGGAAAGAAAGAAAAAAAGGAAGAAAAAGAAACAGGCAGAAAUAGGUCCUUGUCUUGGAAGGAACACUGAGCACUGGGUAAAGAGUCUCACCCAGGUCUCAUCUCUACCUUUCUGUAAAAAGAAAAAGCCUUCAACAGAUGCUGUUUCUUUAGUCACUUCAACCACAGGAAGAUGUCAAAUUCAGAAUGGCAUUUUUCACUUAUAAGAAAAAGAUCUGAAAACCCAAACUUGGAAUCUCAAAGAAAGCUUAAGUGGAAAGGACAUCUUUCAAUAACCAACAUCAUCAUCUUUCCCAUGUACUACCAUCCCAACAGACAGAGACAUCCAGGGAGUCCUGCUCUGUGAAGCACUUUUCAGGAAACAAUCAGCUUAAGACAUCACCCAUCCAAUUCACUUUGACUCUGAUGAACAGUGUCAUCGCUCCUCAGAAAAAUGAAACAGGAGUGGCAUAUAGUCAUGAUGACAGCCAGCUAACCAUUGGGAUCACAUGAAUAAGAGUGCAUCUUACAGAUUCGAGGAAAUCUGAGAACAUUUACAGAGCAUCCAGUGAGUGCCAAGAAUUUUAUAUGUGCCAUAUAGCACGUAAUCUUCACAGUCACACUCUCAAAAUCCAUAUUAUAAACUCCACCUCACAGAUGUUAAUAAGUGACUUCAUAUGGCAAGGUUUGUUUUCUCGCUUCAAAUGAACCACAUCCAGUAGGUAAAGGCCAAAGCCACACUGCAGAGACAUGAUGACAAAGGGUGGUCAUAGCCUCAAAAACAUGUUCUUCCAACGUCGUUAUGAAUGCCAUUCCAAUUAACUUCCCCACUAUUCCCUGGAAAAAUAUCCUUUGACCUCUGCUCAGACAACGUGGGAAGCCCUGUUUUGAAGCAAAUCUGUGGUAUGAGGAGAUGAAAACCUAGCCUAGGACAGAUGCACUGACAGAGUGGGAUUCUUGAGAAGUAUUGCAAAGUUAGGUAGAACUUGGUGAUCAAGUAAAUUACAACU